UGCAGCUGAACCUGCCGGUGAAGGCCCCACAUCCAGGACUGAGGCUCUGGGAGAUGCUGAGGGUGUGUCUGCAGGGAGGACUUCUCAAGCCCCAGGGCCAGAUGCUUGGCCCCAACCCAGCUCCCAUGGCAUGGGUCCUCCAAAAGGAAAGACCCAAUUAUUUGCCGCCAAAACGUCUCAUGACUCAGAUGAAUUCUGGAGACAAACACAGAAGGAAGCACCCCGAGGACAAGUGAUGGAACAAAAGGCUGUUCAGGAGGAGGAACACUCAGGGAGAAGCAGUGGCUCAUUGGCAGCCCUAGCUGCAGGAAGGAAGGCAAUGCCAGACACGGGCACAGCCACAGCAGAUGCAGCCGGCACCACAACACCUGUUCCCAAUGCCCAGGAUGGCCUCGGAAGGGGUUUCUAUCAGGAAACAGGCUACUGGCUAGCAAUACUGGCAUUUAUGUUUUGUUUGGAGCUUGUCUUCGUGUUGUGCUUGUUUGGAAUCCGGUAUUUGGAAUCGGGAAGAGAAAACAGAGCACCUCGGGACAGGAGUUGAAAGACGGUGGCUGCACCUCACACCCAGAGAGCCUGAGCAGCUCCUCCAGCAGCAGGAACGGCCCGGACAGCCCUCUCAAGUGUUCUGUGAAGAGGACCCCAGAAGAGCCGUCGACAAGGAAGCGUCUUAUUGCCCCGUAGAUCCCACUGCCACCUGCUCUCCCCAUGGGCCUCCCCAAGCUUCCUUUAUUCCUUUUUUUCUCUCCGUCUGUCCCAUCCCAGCCAACCCGAGUUCCGCUAGGGACCCCAGGACCAGCCCAGCACUUUCCAGCACCUCCUGAGACCAACACAUCCCUUCCUCUGCCCCUGAGCCCCCUGGCCUUGCCCUCUAGGCAACACUGAAGGUUGUGGAGGAUUUUGUGAACAGCUGGCUAGCUAACAAAGGUCACACUGACAUAAUACCGUUAAUUAAGCAAGAAGGAGACGAGGAUAGGAGUCAGCAGUCAGUGUCCAAACCUGGCAAGGGCACUGUGCCCUUGGUGCAACAUCAGGAUGGGGGAGAGGAUCGUUAGUUAGAAACAUGAAGAAAAUAUGUAAACAGCUGCAGCAUAGUAGCCUCAAGAAUGAUAAGUUUUGAGAUUUGCUGAUCACUCAUAUUGAGUGCCGCAUUUCUUCCGCCGAUUACCACAAAUGGUGACCCCGGACGUGAUAUCGGUAAUGGCAACCACGGUGGAUCAGUGAACGAGUUCGGGUCCUACAGCAGCAAGGACGGCGAAUAAGCACUGCUGAAAAAGCGAAAAGUGCCGCGCCCUGGGUGACCUUAUAGAAGAGCCCGGCCGAUACGUGCUGCCGAAACCUUGAAGGGCUGCAACAGCGCUGACGUUCUCAAAAAUGGAAAUGGAAAGGCAAGCAGCAUAUGAUUUAUUUACUUGCUUUUUAAAAAAGCGUCAGGUUAAGGGCAUAGAUUUGCAGAAAGAGCUCCCACAGUUGUUAGCCUAUGGGUAUGCACAAGGAGUUUUUCAAAAUCCUCAUACAGUGCAUGAAUUAACAGAGUGGCGUAAGCUCGGGGACAAGUUGUGGGAGGCAGCUAUAGAUGAGGAUAAAACUGCAAGGAAGUUAGGAAAGCUAUGGCGAGUCGUGCACAAUGAGUUAUUACAACAUCAGGUAGAAAAGAAAGCUGCGCAGCAAGCUAGCGUAGCAUAUGAUAAGAAUAAGAGUCAUGGGGACUGCUACGACUGUCCGUUACCCCCUACCACAUCUACAGUCGUUUUGCCACCAACAUCGGCUCCUCCUUCAAGCAGCAGCUCACCCCCCGCGGAUGCUGUAACAGCACCGUCCGCACCACCUGUGCCAUGGCCAGACCCUCCGUUUCCUCCUCCUUGUAAUGAGCCGAUCCCUGGGGCAAAAAGUGACCUAGCGGGGGCCGUCGCAAGGGAGCGAAGGGAGGCAUGGGCGGCGGUAGCAAAAGAGAUCAUGGAUUCGGGGGAUAGUGGAGCUAUAGCUGCAGCGGUGGAGGUUGCUUGUCCGGUGGUAUUUUCGCCUGUGCAGGGGAACAGAUAUGAAGCCACAAUUACAGCGCUGGACUGGAAGCUGCUGUCACAAUUACGGUCCACAGUUAGUCAGUUUGGGGUGACCGGUGAGCCCACAAAACAGAUACUUGAUUACAUCUGGGGGACUCAGGUAUUACUGCCGGCUGAUUGCAGAGGAGUAGCGAAGCU